rnacentral:rRNA from 1 species
UACACUCCUGCGGGAGGCAGCAGUGGGGAAUAUUGGACAAUGGGCGUAAGCCUGAUCCAGCCAUGCCGCGUGAGUGAUGAAGGCCCUAGGGUUGUAAAGCUCUUUCACCGGAGAAGAUAAUGACGGUAUCCGGAGAAGAAGCCCCGGCUAACUUCGUGCCAGCAGCCGCGGUAAUACGAAGGGGGCUAGCGUUGUUCGGAAUUACUGGGCGUAAAGCGCACGUAGGCGGAUCGAUCAGUCAGGGGUGAAAUCCCAGGGCUCAACCCUGGAACUGCCUUUGAUACUGUCGAUCUGGAGUAUGGAAGAGGUGAGUGGAAUUCCGAGUGUAGAGGUGAAAUUCGUAGAUAUUCGGAGGAACACCAGUGGCGAAGGCGGCUCACUGGUCCAUUACUGACGCUGAGGUGCGAAAGCGUGGGGAGCAAACAGGAUUAGAUACCCGGGUAGUCCCAUGA